rnacentral:rRNA from 1 species
UACGUAGGUGGCAAGCGUUGUCCGGAAUUAUUGGGCGUAAAGCGCGCGCAGGCGGUCCUUUAAGUCUGAUGUGAAAGCCCACGGCUCAACCGUGGAGGGUCAUUGGAAACUGGGGGACUUGAGUACAGAAGAGAAGAGUGGAAUUCCACGUGUAGCGGUGAAAUGCGUAGAGAUGUGGAGGAACACCAGUGGCGAAGGCGGAUCUCUUGGGCUGUAACGUGACGCUGAGGCAGCGAAAGCGUGGGGAGCGAACAGG